AUUUCUAAAUCUUUCACAAAUAAGGCAUCAUCUCUUUACAGUAUGUACAACUCGAAUCAUUGUAUAACUUGAUCACUAGGGCUAAAAAUGUAUUACUGGGCUGUGGUGUUCUCUUAACGUAUAACUGCAUACUUUACAUUGUCUUUGUCAUAAUGAUCACUAUUUGUAUUUACACCUGUUAUUAUUCAAAUGAGCAAAGACAUAAUGCAAGUGAAGGAGGGGCCACCCCGUUGACGUUGUAACUAAUAACCACUCCUUAUAACGUCAAUUUGCAGUUUUGAUAAAUCACCUUCCAAAGACACAGUUUGUUACCUUUACGAAAAAUCACUGAGUGUGUUACUGUGCACAGAUUUUCACUUGAGACUGGAUGGUUAUGACUUUGAAGAAUAAACUAAGGUUUGCCUUUUCUAAAAAUCAUGGCACCAGAAAAACUACACUCCUCACCAUAUUAUGUAUAUGGUGGGUGCUUACCUGGACUGGUGCCCAAGCGACAACAGAACACCAGAAUCCUGAGACAUCUAAAAUGGAGAAAAUGAGGAUGAAUGAUGAUUUCAGGCAAAACACAAAUGCAACGCAUGAAUCCAAUAAAGAAACUUCCCAACAAUCUGCAGCUAUACACAUUGAAAAUGCCACAGGAGCUAGAGCUACCUCUCAUACUAAAAGUGAUACAAAACCAAUUAGAGCAUUAUCCACUACUGGUACAGCAGUACCUCCCAGGAGAGUCUCGAUCAAAAAUUCAACAGAAAAAACAAGCUAUACUACAACACUGGCUCCUAGACCUAUUGGAAAUUUACCAGUGAUGACUACUCACUCAACACCUGAUUCAAAUACAGCUAACGUAAAGCUGGUGUUCGACUGCUCAUUUCCUGUUCCCAGUGAGAGUAUGGUCUUGAAUGCUAUCCAAACUCUGCUGAUCUCUCGAUCUGCAAACAUCUCAGAUACAGUGAAAGUACUGGGCUUCUACUAUAAUAAAACCUCAGCCAACUCCUAUGAAGUUAAUUUCAUAAUCAACAUUAGUAUCAUCAUGCCAGAGAAGCAUGCCCUCAGGAAAAACACCUACAAGCAAAUCCAAACAUCCAUCAGCAACACACUAAACAUUUUAUUAAAUGAACCUGGUGCAGAACCAUUUGAACCCCAUACCUCCUACAUCAUGGAUGUGGACAUUGAAAUAGAGUACAAUUUUGGAUGUGGGGAUUGCAAACGACCAAUCAGCUUCCUAAAUGAAAUCAGUGCUUUAGCAACAACUCCAAGAACGACAACAGUUCCUCCAACAACUUCAAGACAUGAGAACAUAACUGGAACUGUAUACAUUUAUAUUAAGGUUAUAUUUGAGAACUUGACACAUGUACCUACCGAGGCUGAUGUUAUCAGUGCUGCUAAUGAUCUCCUGGAAUCAAACAAAUCAGUGAGAGAUCUUGGAAUAGAAGAACUGACUGACCCUGUCAGCAUAAAGAACAUCGCCUAUCAGAAAACGGGAAGCAACUCAUAUAGCAUAGACUUUGCAUUCAAAAUCAGCAAUGUGAGCAUGUCUGUGAUGACGGACCAGAGGAGCGCAACAUAUGAGUUAAUACAGUACAAAAUCAACAGCCUGAUGAACACAAUCUUGAAUGCCCCAACUGAGGCAUCAGUUAACUUCUCACAAGCAAAUUACACGGGUAAUGCUACAUUAAUAGAGGCAACUGAAAUAUACAUCUAUAGGGAGUGUGAUAUCAAGUCGACAAGUGAGUUUCUUCUUCAACUCCUAACACUUCAUACACCUCCUGCCAUUGGAUCAGCUGAGGUUCAAACCACCAUGGUGUUCAGCUCGUCCUCUCCUGUUCCCAGUGAGAGUUUGGUCCUCGGUGCUAUCACAGUUCUGCUUAACUCUCGACUCACAAACCUCACUGACUCUGUAACAGUGCUGAACUUCACCUAUGAGAAAAUAUCAGACACAUCCUAUGCAAUCAUUUUCAUAUUCAAGAUCAGUAACAUCAGCAUUCCAGAGAACCCUAACCUCAGGAACGAAACCCACAGCCAUGUAAAGAGCAUCAUCAAUGACGCUCUAAACAUGCUACUAAAUAGGCCUUGUGCAGUGCGAUUUGAAACCAACAAUUUCAACUUCACAAGAUCAGAAGAUAAGAUUGAUGGAUACAUGAACUACACUUUCCAACAAUCAGAAACCAAAAAACCAGCCAGCUUCUUCGAUGAACUCAAGAUUAUACCUGGUUUGGUUGUGGUCAAUACCACCCUGGUGUUCAACUCGUCCUCUCCUAUUACCUGUGAGAGUUUUUACCACAGUGCUCUCGAAGCUCUGCUGAACUCUAGACACACAAACCUUACUGAGUCUGUAAGAGUGCUGACCUGUGAGGAAAUUUCAAACACCUCCUACACAGUUAGCAUUAAAUUCAUCAGUAACAUCAGCAUGCCGAGCAACCCUGACCUCAGGAACGACACCUACACCCAAGUGGAGAACAUCAUCAAUAACGCAGUAAACACACUUCUAAACAAUUUUGGUUCAGAUCCAUUAAAACCCACUACCUCCAACUUCACGAGUUCAGAGAAUGAAGUUACUGGUUACAUGGAAUACAAUCUCAAAGUCUCCCUCAAUCAGACUGGGAAUGCUACAGUGCAGACUUCUCCAGAACCUCCAUCCACAAUCAACGGAUCAGCUGUGGUUCAAACCAUGCUGGUGUUCAACUCGUCCUCUCCUGUUUGCACUCAGAGUGUCAUUCCCAAGUUUAUCGCAUGGCUGAUUGAGUCUGAACUCAAUAAACAAAGUCAGAGUGUCGUUCUCCAUGUUCUCGAAGAUCUGCUGAACUCUACACUCAAAAACCUCACUGAGCCUGUAAAAGUGUUGAAUUACACCAUUGAGGAAAUUUCAAACGGCUCCUACGCAGUUAACAUUACAUUCAGCAUCAGUAACAUCAGCAUGCCGAGCAACCCUGACCUCAGGAACGAUACCUACAUCCAUGUGGAGAACAUCAUCAAUAACGCUGUAAACACACUUCUAAACAAUUUUGGUUCAGAUCCAUUAAAACCCACUACCUCCAACUUCACGAGUUCAGAGAAUGAAGUUACUGGAUACAUGGAAUACAAUCUCAAAGUCUCCCUCAAUCAGACUGGGAAUGGUAGGUUUCACCACAACUUGAUAAUCUUGCUCAAUAAAAGUGUGUGUAAUUUCUGUUUUUAAUGAUUCUGAAAUUGUUUAUCUUCCUGUAAAUUACCCUGCCACAAAAAAUUAUUCUGUUGUAGAACACGGUCCAAAAAUUGUAGAGGAUUCUGUUGUUGAAUCCUCUACAACGAUUACUCCAACUACAGCUACUGUGCCGACUUCUCCAGAACCUCCAUCCACAAUGAACGGAACUGUAUACAUUUUCAUAACAUUGAAAUUCAAUAACUUGAUCACUCUACCUACUGAGGCUGUGGUUCUCAGAGCUGCUAAUGAAAAGCUCGAUCCAAAGAUCAGAAGACAGCGUGAUACUACAACAAAACUGAGUACACCUAUCCGUAUACAGAACAUCAAUUAUACUCGAACGGGCAACAACUCAUUCAGUUUGGACAUGGCAUUCAUGAUCAGCGAUGUUAAUAUGUCUGUUCGAUGUGAUUUCAACUAUAGCUUAAUACAAGAACAAAUAAACAACCUGAUGAAUACAAUCCUGACUAAUCCACAGAACCAAACAUUUAUCUUCCCAUGGGCAAACUUCACGUGUAAUGUUUCCGGAUUAGUGAUUGUGGCUGAACAAGUAUAUGUCUAUAACGAGACGGAUAUAAAGACACCAAGUGGCUUUGUUCAUGAAAUACUCAAAGCAAGUGGUCUGUUGUACUAUACAAUUCCUGCCAUUACAAGCAUUCAGCCCACCACAAAACCUGGAAACAGCACCGAUACAGGGGCUGCAUGGAUUUUGGGCUUCGUUAUCCCAUGUGGUAUAGUCCUCAUUCUUCUCCCAUGUUGGAUUCUACUCUGUUGUAUUCUUUGUGGAUGCUGUGCAGGAAUUAGAAGACGUUGGCUCAGGCGACGAUCAUACAACGUUCAGUAUCAAACUCACAGCAGUCUCUUCUAAAGCACAACAUACCAUACAUUCUCAAUUGGAGUUAUUAAUUUAAAGUGUUGUAAUCUGUCUUGAUGUACAAAAGCAGAUGCUUUUAGACAUACUAUUCCAUACUACACAGAGGUAAUUUAGUUAAGAUUAAAUCUGUAAAUAUAUGCAAUCACAAAAUAUUAUUCAUUAAUAAAUUAAUUUAUUCUUCUAAUUUAUUUUCAAACAAUAUAUGUUAAUUUAUUACUUUAUUACUUUAAAAAUAGUACUAUACAUUUCAUUUCAAAUAGAGGGAUAUGUUAUUUCUAAAUAACUAUUUAUUUACAUUUAUUUGCACUUUAUCAGUUUGUCAACAAUCAUUGUGCCAUGUUCUAUUGUGUGCUAUUAUUAUGCUGUGUAAUAUCAAUUCCUUUGAAGUACUAUUCUACUUAUGCCAUUAAAAUUAUUCCCCUGAAUGAAUUAUUCAUUUUCUUCAUAACUGAAAACACAAACUGUUUUACUGUUCUGUGCAAGAACAAUCCUCAAUCCUAUAGGUUCCUAUUGAAUCUGCUAGACAGUGGAAUUAAGAGUGUACAGUUGCAAUCAAAAUCAUUCAACCCCUACUGCAAAUUAGAUUUAUUGUAAAAAUGUACAGACUUUCAGCUGCGAUGAACAAAUCAAACAAAAGCAAUUGAAAUAGUUCAACCCGACGAAUGCUUCAAGGGGUUUCCCCAAAUUGAAAAUGCAUCUUAUAAUAACUUCUCCAGUUUCAAAAUUAUUCACCCCCCUGAAUAGAAUCCCUCACAACAGCACAAAUAUGUAAAACAGGUGUUGUCUCAAUCACUGAUGCUAAACUAAUCAAGGGCUUCAUUAGCUGCACCAGGUGUGGUUGAGCUGGAACACAUGAAAUGCCUGAACUAGGGGCAGAAAAUUCAUGAAAUACCUGGACGGGGCAGAAAAAGGAAGCUAUAAACGGUUGCAACCAGAUUUCUGAGAAGGCAGGUUGUGAAAAACCCUCGAGUGACUGUGAAAGACCUGCAGCAAGACUUGGUGGCAACAGGCACUGAGGUUUCAAUAAGCAUAGUAAGGCGCGUAUUAAACACAUAAGGUUUCCAUGCCAGAACUCCAAGACGUUCACCACUACUGACUCAAAAUCAUAUAAAUAAGGCACAGAAGUUUUGGGAUUCUGUUCUGUGGAGCAACGAAACAAAACUGGAACAUUUCGGCAGGAUGGAUCAGCGGUAUGUCUGGAGGAAGAAUGAAGAAAGAACGCUGUCCACAGUCAAGCAUGGCGGUGGCUUGGUGAUGCUCUGGGGCUGUUUUGCAUCCACUGGCACUGGAAACCUGCAGCGUGUGGAAGGCGAGAUGGAUUCAUUGAAGUAUCAGGAAAUCCUAUGAGAAAACAUCAUGCCGUCUGUGAGGAACCUGAAGCUUGGGUAUCAUUGGACCUUCCAACAGGACAAUGAUCCCAAGCAUAUCUCAAAUUCCACCAAGGCUUGGUUGCAGAGGAAGUCCUGGAAAAUUCUACAGGGCCAUCACAGUCACCUGACUUGAACCCCAUAGAAAACCUCUGGUGGAAUUUGAAGAAGGCGUUUACUGCAUGCAAACCCAAGAAUAUUACUGAACUGGAGGCCACUGCUCAUGAGGAAUGUGAUAAGAUUCUUCAGGAACACUGCCAGAAACUGGUGUCUGGCUAUGCAUCUUGUUUGCAGCAGGUCAACAGCAAAAGGAGCUCUACUAAGUACUAAAGAUGCUUGUCAUGAAGGGGUUGAAUAAUUUUGAAAAGUUAUUAUAAAUUGCAUUUUCAGUUGAAUUUGGGGAAACCACUUGAAGCAUUAAUUAUGUCGAACUAUUUCAGUUACUUCUGUUUUGAUUUGUUCAUUGCAAACAGC
ensembl:lncRNA